AUAUUGAUUAAUACAAUAUUGAUUAAUACGAUAUUGAUUAAUACGAUAUUGAUUAAUUUGAUACGAUAUUGAUUAAUACGAUAUUGAUUAAUACGAUAUUGAUUAAGACGAUAUUGAUUAAUACGAUAUUGAUUAAUGCGAUAUUGAUUAAUAAAGGUAUUGAUUAAUACGAUAUUGAUUAAUAAAGGUAUUGAUUAAUACAAUAUUGAUUAAUACGAUAUUGAUUUCUAAAACAUCACUAUUAUAACUACUGCUGUUUAAUAAUAACUUCAUCAAAUAAAGAUCAAAGCACUUUAUAUCAUUACUACUCAUCACAUGACACAGGACAGUUAAAAAAAAAGGGAAUGUUUUAAAACUUGAAAUAUACACACCGAAACGGAUGGUAUUCUCUGUUAUAUUCACACGACAGAAAAUAUAUAUUUGAAUUUUCAUGGAAGAUUAUUGACAUUUAUUUUUUACAAACCAUGUUUACAGUUGUAGAUGAUUAUUGGUAUUAGUGCAAUAAUCAUAUACAACUGUAAUGAAUAGAAUAAAUAAUUAUUCAAAUAAAUGUUUAAACUCAGUUAAAAGCACUAAGGAGUUUUGCAAGUAAUGAACUACAAAUGGAGCAAUAGCUAUAUACAAUAUGCAAUGUAUAUGUGAAACUUGAAUGUAAACUUGAAUGUAUAAAGAAGAAGAAUAAAUAUAUUUUGUUAAUAUUUUAGGAUAAUAUAUAUAAUUACAAUUUUUGGCAACAUUCUUUGUUGCCUGUCUAUGAACAAAUCUCAGUUAGUUGGAAACAAUACAUUCCAAAUGUACGUAUGUAUGAAAGAGAUAACAUACAGUACCAGUCAAAAGUUUGGACACACCUACUCAUUCAAGGGUUUUUCUUUAUUUUUACUAUUUUCUACAUUGUAGAAUAAUAGUGAAGACAUCAACACUAUGAAAUAACACAUAUUAUGGAAUCACGUAGUAACCAAAAAAGUGUUAAACAAAUCAAAAUAUAUUUUAGUUUUUAGAUUCUUUAAAGUAGCCACCCAAAGUUGUCAUCAAGGCAAAGGGUGGCUACUAGGAAGAAUCUCAAAUAUAAAAUGCAUUUGGAUUUGUUAAACAAUUUUUUGGGAUACUAGGUGGUUACAUAUGUGUUAUUUCAUAGUUUUGAUGUCUUCACUGUUACUCUACAAUGUAGAAAAUAGUAAAAAAAAAAAGAAAAACCCUUGAAUGAGUAGGUGUGUCCAAACUUUUGACUGGUACUGCAUGUGUAUUUCACUAUAUGUAAUUCUAAUCUAAUUUAAUAACAUUUCUUUAAAUUAGGUUACUUUGGCUUCAAAUGUAUCAAAUUAACAUAAUAUGAGAUCAUAUAUAUUUUUCUAGAUGAAAUUGCACUUAUUUUGACAGCCACAUUAAUAAUAGCCUACACUAUGUGAAAAUAUAUACUAAACACUCUGGUAUGGAAAUGUGUAGUUGAACCCCAGAUUCUAUUUUUAUUUUUGUAUUAUUAAAUGAAAUGAAUUUAAAGAUGCCAUCCGCAGUACGGGGAAACAGCACCAACUGGCCACCACACCAUCAUUGUUUUAGCUUUGUUGCCAAGUUGAGGAGCAAGGUACACAUUUGAUUUUGUCUAUAAUAUUGUGCUCUUCAAUGACGUCCUGGGGGGAAAAAACUGUGUUCAUUGUUUG
rnacentral:lncRNA from 1 species